rnacentral:rRNA from 1 species
GUGCCAGCAGCCGCGGUAAGACGAACCGUCCGAACGUUACUCGGAAUUACUGGGCUUAAAGGGUGCGUAGGCGGCCCUGAAAGUUGGGUGUGAAAGACCUCGGCUCAACCGAGGAAUUGCGCCCAAAACUACAGGGCUUGAGGGAGACAGAGGUGAGUGGAACUUGCGGUGGAGCGGUGAAAUGCGUUGAUAUCGCAAGGAACACCAGUGGCGAAAGCGACUCACUGGGUCUUUUCUGACGCUGAUGCACGAAAGCUAGGGGAGCGAAGAGGAUUAGAUACCCUCGUAGUCCUAGCCGUAAACGAUGAGCACUUGUUCGAGGGGUCCUCCAUAGCCUCUCGGACGUAGCGAAAGUGGUAAGUGCUCCGCCUGGGGAGUAUGGUCGCAAGGCUGAA